GUUAAUUGAUUAUGACGUACUUGUACUGAUUGAGAUUUUAACACGAAGUGAGUGGCGAACGGGUGAGUAACACGUGGGUAACCUGCCCAGAAGUAGGGGAUAACACCUGGAAACAGAUGCUAAUACCGUAUAACAGAGAAAACCGCAUGGUUUUCUUUUAAAAGAUGGCUCUGCUAUCACUUCUGGAUGGACCCGCGGCGUAUUAGCUAGUUGGUGAGGUAAAGGCUCACCAAGGCAGUGAUACGUAGCCGACCUGAGAGGGUAAUCGGCCACAUUGGGACUGAGACACGGCCCAGACUCCUACGGGAGGCAGCAGUAGGGAAUCUUCCACAAUGGACGCAAGUCUGAUGGAGCAACGCCGCGUGAGUGAAGAAGGGUUUCGGCUCGUAAAGCUCUGUUGUUAAAGAAGAACGUGGGUAAGAGUAACUGUUUACCCAGUGACGGUAUUUAACCNNNNNNCCACGGCUAACUACGUGCCAGCAGCCGCGGUAAUACGUAGGUG
rnacentral:rRNA from 1 species